AUGAACGCUGGCGGCGUGCCUCAUACAUGCAAGUCGAGCGAACGGACGAGAAGCUUGCUUCUCUGAUGUUAGCGGCGGACGGGUGAGUAACACGUGGAUAACCUACCUAUAAGACUGGGAUAACUUCGGGAAACCGGAGCUAAUACCGGAUAAUAUUUUGAACCGCAUGGUUCAAAAGUGAAAGACGGUCUUGCUGUCACUUAUAGAUGGAUCCGCGCUGCAUUAGCUAGUUGGUAAGGUAACGGCUUACCAAGGCAACGAUGCAUAGCCGACCUGAGAGGGUGAUCGGCCACACUGGAACUGAGACACGGUCCAGACUCCUACGGGAGGCAGCAGUAGGGAAUCUUCCGCAAUGGCGAAAGCCUGACGGAGCAACGCCGCGUGAGUGAUGAAGGUCUUCGGAUCGUAAAACUCUGUUAUUAGGGAAGAACAUAUGUGUAAGUAACUGUGCACAUCUUGACGGUACCUAAUCAGAAAGCCACGGCUAACUACGUG
rnacentral:rRNA from 1 species